UUGAUACGCUUGCAUCCCGCUGCCGCAAGCUUGUCAUUUGCAUUCGCUGGUGCAUCCUCGAACACUUGCAAGAAUGCAUAAUCACGAGUUUCAGGCUCAGCACUCAUGCUAUUAGAAAGCAUGCACCCAUCAGUGCGCACCUUACUUGUGGCUUUAAACAGCAAGCGUAACUGCGCAUACGACCUGGAAGGCCGCUCUGGCCGCUGCAAGCUCACAAACUCGAAUCUCUCACUACCGUACAGAUUCUGACUUGCGCGCACGGUUUGCAGAGCACCCUCUCCCACAGCACCCUCUUCAAGCCACUCUGG
rnacentral:lncRNA from 1 species